rnacentral:misc_RNA from 1 species
GUGUGUGUGUGUGUGUGUGUGUGAAGUUUGAAGGCAAAAUAUGGACUUACGCCUAAAAUCUUCAGGCCAAAUAUAAGAUAGAAUAGGAUGUAAGUUCCUAUUUUAUUUGAUAUGUUAAUCUUGUUUUUACUUCUAUAUGAAAAAUCUAUAUUAUUCCAUAAUCCCAAGCCCAAUAAUGUUGACCUGGAACUUUAAAUCCUAACCCAAACUCAAUAGUAUUAAAAACCCAGGACAAAUUUUAUUAGCCAUUGAAGUGUCCAUUGCAUUCAUCUUCUGGUGAAUCAAACAACGCAAAGUUGGCUUCAGGUCAUCAAAUGUCAAAUAUUACCAAAGCAGUGAGACGUCACAUAAGGUAUUUCUUUUUAUACUUAUAGACACGUAAGAUGGAAUGGAAGCAAGAUUUCUCUGUGAUAGUUUAGAGAGAUAUGCAAUACAAGUGUAGUCUAUGUGACUUGCUAUAGAGACCUUGGAUAGGUGUCAUUGGGUAGCCUAAUAGAGGCAGGCAAAACCUAAUACUUACUAUGUAGCUAGUAGCUCCUUAUUGCCUUUUUUGGACCAGGAAAAAUAACUGGAGCAAGCAAAGCCUAAUUUUUCAAGAUCUUUGCCUCAAGUUCUUAGUUCUUUGUAAAGGGUUGAUAUUUUGCUUCAUUUUACUCAAUUUACAGGAUAUAUGAAAUGUAUAGUUGGUCAGAAUAUAAAUAAAAAAGGAAUUGGGUAUUAGAAAAAAAAAUCCACAUGUAACAACCUCAAUAGAAUUUAUCUAAAAUUUAGCAUCAAAAUUCAUCUUUAGUUGAGUCUUUAAUAAUGUGAUCACAAGGUUCUUCCAGAAUGGAUAUAGAUGGGAUCAUUCCAUUAAUUAAAGGAUCCCUGGUUGGCAUUUCUAUUGUUGAUUAGCAACUGUUCACUACAAACAGCAACAAAGCUAAGUAUUAUUUGUUGCAUUUUUCUUUCCUAAAUAAGACAAACAAAAAGAAAUAUAAACAAGAUUCAAAGAAACCUCUGUUUUGGUUAUUAAUAGAUUCAAAGGCACACCUAGGCAAAAUUUUAUUCCAUGCAUGGGGUAAAUUGGUAAUCAAGGUGGAAAAACAAAGUCCCCAGACAACAAAUUAAAAAUGAUCAAAACAAGUUAUGAGUUUGAAGCUGAGCUUUACGUAUGCCUGCUCAAAACAAAAGUUUCAAGAGAUCCUAAUAUUUAGAGGAAGGGCAUAUAUGUUAUGCAUUAAGUCAUUAACCAUCGAUAGAAAGUACCUGCAAAACCAGAACUGUAUUCCAAAUCCCAGCCAUAAUCCCUAGUGUUUCAAUAUAAACAUAAAGUGAAGAAAAGAAUUUCAAAAAGUUUCAAACAAUUUCCUCUUCUGUAUGCAUGAAUCAUGAUGUUGAAACAUCAAUGUAAUAAGAAUUACCCACCUAUAAAAAUAAAACCCUGUUUAGCUAAAAGCUAACUUCAUUUACCAACAAACAGGAAAUGCAAUUAUGCAAAUGCCCAUGAAUCCAAGUAAAAUACAAGCACGGAGAACAGUAUCACUGCACUAGAAAAUGUUGUGUUAAGCCUCAGGAUUCUGGUGGCUUAACCAAGGUGUUUGGGCAGUGAGAAAGAGAAGGGAAAGUGAAGGAAAGUGGGAGAGAAAGAAGAGAAAAUGAAAUUUGUUGGAAAGAAAGAGGGGAAAGAAUUUAAAGAGAGAAUGAAAUUAUUUGUUAAUUGAUUCAAUAAUGGUUUCAAUACAAUUCAGGCGCUUUAUACAAUCACUGUUAACUUACUAAGCAGAAUCAACUAAGCAAUUGACUAGAAACUAAACUCCAGCUCAGCAAUUGAUCCUUCCCCUUCCUCAUGUGUACCUACUUCCGGAUAGACUAUCUUCACUCAUGACAGUAUGCAAAGGAAAAGGGAAGUUCCAAUAAUAUGUUUUAUUACCACUGGAUGUGUAAUCACACUAGGUAAAAAGGUACAAAAGGAAGCUAGUAAAGAAUUAAACUUGGCUAACCAGAGUCUAAUCAGAAUACAUGAACAUGCACCCUAAUCGAUUAUACACAACAACAGGCAUUAUAUAUGUGUAGAAACAACACAAUGCGCUGAGAGAAAUUUAUACUUAUUUGGCAAAAUCAUCUCACAGAAGCUUUCCUUUGUAUCACAGAGAAUUUCAAUAUUUUCGCGACCUAUGAAUCUAGGAUAUUAGCUUUGGCUAUUGGGUGGACCAGUGAAGAAUAUUUACGAGCUCUUAUGAACAAGUGAAUCGAAAUUCUCUUCUUUAACACUAACGUUACCAUGAUUAGUGUUCAAGUUCUGCUUCUUCUCUGCAUUACUUCCAUUAUCAAGACCCUUUUCAAAAUGACCUGAAUUAUUAUGGGAAUUUCCAUUGUUCUUGGCAAUUUCAACAGAAGUAAUUCGCUCCACAUUCAUAGGUGACGUUCCAUCGACGCUCUCUCUCUCCCGUUUCCCGAAAUUCCCAGAUCCAGAAACCUCCACGGAUUCUACGUCCUUCCUCUUCGCCACCAACGCCACGUGCUCCAACGCCUCCCUAGCUCUCUUCCUACAAACAGCCGCUUCCCGUACCCUCCUUUCAGCCUCCGCCCUCGCCACAAUCACCGCCUUCGCCAUGGAGGAAGCGGCAAUCCUCGCUGCGCAAAGAAGGACCGUGGCCAUUUUCUUAUCAAUGGUUCGAUUAUUGGUUUUAUCGAGGUGAAAAAAGGAGAAAUUGGGGUCAGCGCAAGGCGGGCAGAGGAAGGGCAAGGAGGAAGGAGGGUGGGGGGGCACGCAGUGGGAGUGGGUGAAGGAGGAGCAAUUGGAGCAAGAGAGGCGCUUGGAAGGAGGAGGAGGGGAAGAGUCGUAGAAUGUGAAGCAGGAAGGGCAGAAAGAGGAAGGGUGGAGGCGGAGGACACAGGAGGUGCAGAGUCGGCGAUAGAUACCUCGAAGGCGGACGUGGUGGAGAAGCCAGGUGUCUUUGGAGCCACAGUUGCCGCAUUCUCCGGCGGAUGGAUUGGUGGCGUCGCUGUUGAUGCUAGUUGUAUUGGGUUUUGCUGUUAUUGGGAUAUUCAUUUUGGGAAAUUCUAAAGAAGAGAACGAUACGAUUGAGAAAAGAGACUUCCGGCUUUCACUAGGAGGUGGCGGCAGUGCUGGCGGUUGAGGAGCGCUGAGGAGGGGGGAGGGGUUUAUGAGAGAAUUUUCCACUUGAAGCUCUCACAGAAAUUUGAGAGAGCGACCAAAGAGGGAGACAAAUUUUCUUUAGAAACCAGCGGUUGUCCUGAACGGCGACGUUUUAACCAGAGGAUUUG